rnacentral:snRNA from 1 species
CUGCUCCUUUAUAACAUGUAUACCAAAGUUGGAAUGAAACAGAGAUGAAGAGCUUGACCCUUGAACAAUGACGUCAUGAAAAUUUAUAUUUCACGUUCUU